GGUGAGAUGGCCGAGCGGUCUAAGGCGCCAGACUAAGGAUCCAGCACUGUUUCAGUGUCCAAUGAGCAUCACACGCUUACGUAAUCUGGUCCUCCGGGGCGUGGGUUCGAAUCCCACUCUCAUCA